rnacentral:lncRNA from 1 species
UCUGUGCUCCGUGUUCUUUAAGAUGACGAGAUACUAAACUAUAGUAGCAAUCUCCUAGCUACUAAUAAUUGCCAGGUGCUGAGUUUUUCACUCCCUGGUCUACAGAGCAGUCAGUGAGGGUAUCUGAGACUGGACCAUCUGCCUGGCAAACAAUGCUUGCCGGCUGGCUGGUGGCAGACAGUGCUCAAGGACUGGAGAAGGCGGGUGUGACCCAGGGGCAUUCUUGCACUCAAGAGAUCCUGUGCCUCACCCCGCCCCCCAUCAGAUCAAUGGAUCAACUGUAACUGUGAUGUACCUGACCACCGUUCUCCAUACCUGCUCUCAGAAUCCAUGGCAAAAACAGGGGUCAGCCCCCUCUCCAGCUGAACUAGGUCACCUGAGGACACAGUUUCCAGGGAAAACAUCUGAGUGAGCCUCUCCAGUCCAUCUCAGCCUUGCUGGGGUCUAAAGCUCAUGGCAGCCCGAGACCCCAUAGCCACCAGUGCAGAAGACCAAGCCCACUGUCUCCAUCAACCUGAAGCCUGUCCAGAGCUCAGCAGAGACAAGUCACAUGCCAACUCCUACAGCUGGGUCCCUGUGUCCCCCUCCUCAGGGUGAGUCUCCUGACCCUAACUUCCCAUCGACAGCAGUCUGGAAGCCCAAAUCCUACUCAAUGACCAGCACACAGUAGGUACUUAAGAUCAGCAGAGAAGUAACAAGGAAUCCGCUAGUUCAGCCUCCAAAGCAGAGCCUCCAUGUGUAGGGGCAGAAGAAAGGGACCUCAUUUUUUGUCCUUUGUGCAAAUUAACAAUGAUGGCUCUACAGGGCAAGAGACAUUGCUUAUGACAACUGAGGCUCAACUUCAAGCUCACCCCCCACAAGAGAGCACCUGGACGCCUCUCCGAAGAGCAACAAAUACACUUUGGAGAGUGCCGGGGAUUGCCAGGAGCGCCAACUACAUUUCCAGCCUGACACCCAGCUGCAACAAAGCAGAUUCCUUUCUUCCCUUCUCUCGAAAAGCCUAA